UUUUGAAACAGGAGCACACAAGAUUUAAAGAUUUACCGGAGUGUGAAACAGAGCUUGGGAUGGACAUGUUAGUACACAAAGUUACAACAAACUGGACAGCACUGCUAGCGCCGUCCAUCCAGAUAUGAAAUUGGUCCUGUGGAUAAUGGUAAAAACACUUGUUUGUACAAAAUGAUGAUAUAAAAGGUUGUUGCUGGAUAAUGGUCUUGCAGUACAAGCAGGGAAGGGGUAUCCAAGUAAGACAACGCUAGACCUGAAUCUUCUGGAAAGCGUCCAGAUGUGGUUCGUCCACAAACUGCACUUGCAUCAUUUGGGUAAAAAUUAUGCAAGUCCUGAUAGUUCACCACAAGCCAUCAACAUUUUAUGUAGCCUGUAUAAUUCGAUUGGACAUGAGGUUGUUUUGUGCCCAGAGUGUGAUAAUAUCAUCUUU